rnacentral:rRNA from 1 species
AGCAGCCGCGGUAAUUCCAGCUCCAAUAGCGUAUAUUAAAGUUGUUGCAGUUAAAAAGCUCGUAGUUGAAUUUCGGGACUAGUACGCUGGUCAUGCUUUUGGUAUGUACUGGUGUUACUGGUUCCUACCUUCUGACGAACCGUCAUGUCAUUCAUUUGGUGUGGCGGGGAAUCAGGACUGCUACUUUGAAAAAUUAGAGUGUUUAAAGCAGGCUCGCGCUUGAAUACAUUAGCAUGGAAUAAUGAAAUAGGACGUUUGAUCCUAUUUUGUUGGUUUCUAGGAUUGACGUAAUGAUUAAUAGGGAUAGUUGGGGGCAUUAGUAUUCAAUUGUCAGAGGUGAAAUUCUUGGAUUUAUUGAAGACUAACUACUGCGAAAGCAUUUGCCAAGGAUGUUUUCAUUAAUCAAGAACGAAAGUUAGGGGAUCGAAGACGAUCAGAUACCGUCGUAGUCUUAACCAUAAACUAUGCCCGACUAGGGAUCGGAUGAUGUUAUUUUUAANGA